rnacentral:rRNA from 1 species
UGGCGGGCUUGCGCGAGCCAUGGGAAGUGGCCAUGCGAAGCACUGGUAGCAGAGUCCUAGCUGUAGAGACCUCGGACCUCUGAUCUUUCCAGGAGAGUUCCGACACUUAAGGUCUUUACCCCAAAUACAUUCCUCGUCUACCAAGACACUACAGUUGAGUUUAAAACCUAGUUUCCUUAUCCUGGAAGGAGUCAUCCCCAGUUCUAUCGUUUCUAAAGUAUAUAUCCAAACCUUGUGGAAGAAAGUUUCAUAUAGUUUUUCCUUUUGCCGGAGAUAAGUCCUUUAUUUUAAGUUGUUCUACAGUAAUGUAUAGGCGUGUGUAAAUCGUCGUCGCCUGGUUUCCCAAUGUGGGUAAUUCUAAGGAGGUGUACUUUAAGCCUGGUUCUAGAAAAAGUACUAAAUGUUAUACAGGUGGCUAUUAUAUCUUCGAUUACCUAAGCUUAAAUUACUUCACAACUACCUUGUUAUAAUAGGAACCAAACGUGUCAUGUACCAGUACGUUUCCCAUACGUAGCUGGGUUUAAAAGUACUGUAUACAAAUUACAAGGAAGUAUUUCAUUUGAGCUGUCAUAACAUGUACCUUUAUGACUUUCGAUGUAUGCGCUUGACGUUCUACAAUAAUGCUAGGCUACAAUAGUUUAGAACAAGUCCGCUUGCGUGGAAUGACUUUUUAUAUCCAUAAACCAAACCUUUUAGGCGGUAAGUUACCUUGGUUCUGGGUUCGUGAAUACAUCUACCGGAUUAUGGAGAAUAUCAUUUCCGCAUAGCCUUUCCCAACUACGAACGACAUCAAGUUAAGUAAAGUUUCUAAGAACUUGGAACGGUCGGUUAAUAAUCACAACCCUGUUACCUCUAAGAAUCAGACGAACGACUCUAGAUAUGUUUCGGUCUGGAGGUUGAAAGAGACCUUAUAUUGUAUUUCCAGAACAAAUCCUUGAAACUGCACCUACGUCUUGUAUGGUUUUGUUUAAUGGAAGAAUUUCUACAUUUUGCACUUCAACGCCCUUUAGUUCUAAAACACCACUUUCUACAACACGUACAUGGUUGUACCAACACAGGCCGAAAAGAACUAGUCCUUCCCCUCCGUAGAUACGGUGAGUGGGUCAUGUAGUGAUCAGACUUUGGUUAGUACGCGUGACAGUUCGAACAACCACUCUACUCUUUGGUAACCAAAAUAACCCACCACCGCCUUUUCCGGUUCUCGGAGUACCGUAGUUAAUAGUCUCGUGAUGUGCUAGAGGUACUUCAAUUAUAUACAGGACAUGUCAAAACACGUAGUUUGUAACAUCACUGUAUAAUGCCCUCUCACUUUUAGUCUCAACGUACAAACUUCUUCUGACAAAGAUACCACGCGUUUUUGAUACUCCUACGGUCGUUAUAAUAAUACCUGUGUAACAAACGACUGAUGUUCGGUUGAUAAUAGGGGUUUCUACAUCUAGUAGAUAAAAGCAACUACUUCAGAGGGUAACGUUGUCCAUGCUUCAUACACUAUCCCUGCGUGCGAAGAGAAUAAGGAGAACCCUUGUCCAAAGUUAAGAUAGACCUAUACACGCUGGUAUAAUGUAGACACCACCUGGGACUUGAAUCCAGUUUAUAAGUACCUCGAGAUCUGCUAGGGAUACCACUCUUGACCAGUCACAACGAGCUUAUAUUGUAAAACGACUUCCUCAGUAAGAUGUCUAGGCCCAGCAGUAUGUUAUGGUUUUUUCCUCGUUAACUUAAAGACUCCAAAAUAUCCUUGUGCGAACGUGUGUCUUACCUAUUUACGUUCUUUGACAACGUCUUACAACCUCUAAAGUCUUGUAACUAUAUGUGAUUUCUCCUAUAACUUUACUAGAAUGACCAAUGGAUAGGCUACUAGGAUGGCUCUUACGUUCUUCUUGAGGUCUUAGUAUUCGCUGACUUCCUAAACUUAGAAGUAUUGGACUUGAAGUUCAUUGAGGUCGAAAACAUGAAAUUCACAUUGACCAUUGACACACUACAACAUUAGGUUGUUAUUUGAAACUAAAAAGAUCCGAUGUUUCCAAACUUUCUUAUAGAAUUCACUCAACAACAUAGAUAGUACGAAGUAAGAUUUAAAAACUCAUAUAACAAAAUAUUACUACUUCUACAAAAAA